rnacentral:lncRNA from 1 species
UCUAUUUUUUGACUUUUUUCGGCUAACCAAAGUCCUUUAACGUAUUUUCUUGCAUGAAUGAGCACAAAACUGGUCGAAAUCAGCCGAAACUGGCCAAAAAUGGCCAACCUGAGGCAAAGUGCCAUCACCGGAGCAUGGCAGCACUGCCGUGUCGGAAUCUCGAAAUUGGCCGAAAAGGGUUUCUAACACCGAUUUUGAAUUUUUGGGGUAUUUCUAGGU